AACAGGACAAUUAAGGGUAAAUGGCGGAUGCCUUGACUUUGAAAGGCGAUGAAGGACGUAGCGUACCUGCGAUAAGCUCCGGGGAGACGGGUAGCAAUCAUUGAUCCGGAGAUUUCCGAAUGAGGAAACUUUGCCGCGCAAAUCGCGGCAAGCUCCGACCUUGUGUCGGAGCGGCGCACCCAGGGAAGUGAAACAUCUCAGUACCUGGAGGAAAAUAGAACAAAAGUUUAUUUCCUUAGUAGCGGCGAGCGAAAAGGAAAGAGCCCAAACCGAGCGCAUAAUUUAUUAUGUGUUCGGGGUUGUAAGAUGAAAACGCUAUCUUGCUUUUCGCAAAGCGCUUUAAAGCGUUUUGCGAUUUGCGGGACAAGAAAGAGUCACAAAUUCCAAGCAUAUAAGAAAUUAUAUGCUCGGCCGAGCGCAAAAUUUAUUUUGCGCUUGGUAUUUGUUAGCCGAAAUCGGCUGGAAAGCCGCACCAAAGAGGGUGAUAGUCCCGUAGGCGAAAGCGAAUAAACUCUUCAGUUUUUAUUCUUGAGUAAUCCGACACACGAAUGGGUCGGAUGAAUCAGGGAGAACUAACUCCUAAGGCUAAAUACUUUCAAAGAUCGAUAGUGAACUAGUACCGUGAGGGAAAGGUGAAAAGCAGCCCGGGAGGGCGGUGAAAUAGUACCUGAAACCAUUUACCUACAAAGAAUCGGAGCCGAGCGCAUAAUUUAUUAUGUGCUCGGUGACGGUGUGCCUAUUGAAGAAUGAGCCAACGAGUUCUCUUGUUUUCUUUGUCUAAUCCCGUAGGGGAGGAGGCACAGUGAAAGCGAGCGUGAAUAGCGCGUUCCCCGCGAUGAGCGGGGAUUAGAAAACGAGGGAGACCCGAAGCCAGGUGAGCUUGCCAUGACCAGGGUGAACCCCGCCGAAAGGCGGGGGGAGGCCCGAACCGGUAAGUCGUACAACGCUUUCGGAUGAGUUGUGGUAAGAAGUAAUAAGCUAAUCGAACCUGGUAAUAGCUGGUUCUCUCCGAAAUAGCUUUAGGGCUAGCGUCCCGUUUAGAUUCUCCAGGUAGAGCACUGGUUGAGCAGCAUAGGGAGAAAUCUCGGCAGCUCAGUCAAACUCCGAAUGGGAGAAUUGUUCCGGGGCAGUUAGACUAUGGGGGCUAAGCUCCAUCGGUCAAAAGGGAAAGAGCCCAGAUCUCCAUCUAAAGUCCCAAAAUCUUUGCUAAGUGCGAAUAAGGCGGUAGGAUUUCACAGAUAGCGAGGAAGUUGGCUUAGAAGCAGCCAUCUUUUAAAGAGUGCGUAACAGCUCACUCGUUAAGAAAUCCCGCGCCAAAAAUACAUGGGGCUAAGCAAAGUACUGAAGAUGAGGACCGAGCACAUAAUUUAUUAUGUGCUCGGUGGUAGGAGAGCGUUCUUAAAGCGUUGAAGCCUAAUCGCGAGAUUGAGUGGAGCUUUAAGAAGUGAAAAUGUUGGCACAAGUAACCACAAGUCCGAUGAGAGAUCGGACCGCCGAAAACCCAAGGUUUCCUGGGCGAUGGCAAUCAGCCCAGGGUUAGUCGGUCCUAAGGCAAUGGCGAAAGCCGCAGCUGAUGGACAGCCGGUUAAUAUUCCGGCACCUCCUCGUUUUUCCGAGAAGAUGACGAAGUUUAGUAAUUUGAGCGAAUUAUCAGAUUUUCGUUCUUGUUCCGAGAAAAAUUUCUUAACUGAAAUUUUUUGAUGGAGCAAGAGGAAAUCCGCAAGGAUGAACUUAAACCAGCAAGCUUCCCAGAAAAGUCUUCAAGGGUUAAGAGCGGGGAGUCCGUACCGUAAACCGACACAGGUGGGUUGGCUAAGAACGCCAAGGCGAACGGGUGAAAUCUUCCCAAGGAACUCGGCAAACAAGCAGGCGUAACUUAGGGAUAUGCCUUGCCGAGCACAUAAUUUAUUAUGUGCUCGGUUGCAACAAAAGUUCCCCAGAGGACUGUUUACCAAAAACACAACUCCCUGCGAACUCGUAAGAGUAUGUAUAGGGGGUGACGCCUGACCAAUGCGAGAAGGUCAAAUAUGACCGGUGCUUCGCACCGGAAUUUUCAAGUCAAAAUUUUCAAUUUUCAAAUCUUGGAAAUUGAUAAUUGAAAAUUGGAAAUUCCAGCGCGGAGCGCUGGGUUGUAUAAGCCCUCGUCAAUGUCGGCGAUAACUAUAAUCGUCCUAAGGUAGCGUAAUUCCUUGUCGGCUAACUUCCGACGUGCACGAAAGGCGUAACCAUUUGGGGACUGUCUCGGGAAGUAGCCCGGUGAAAAUACAAUACCGGUGAAGAUGCCGGUUACCUGCAGGUAGACGAAAAGACCCCGGAAGCUUUACUGUAACUUGGCAUUGGGUUUAAGUUUUAAAUGCAUAGUGUAGCGGGGAGGGGAUGAAGCUCCGAUCUCGGUCGGAGUGGACCCGCCAAUGUAACACCCGUCUUUUAAAAUUUAAAUUCUAACCUUAAAGGCAAAAACUUUUAGGAACAGUGCCUGGCGGGCAGUUUAAAUGGGGCAUUUCUCUUCUAAAAAGUAACGAAGAGGCCUAUAAGGUCGGCUAACUCCGGAUGGAAAUCGGAGUCGUCCCGUAAGAGGAAAAGCCGGCUUGACUGUGAGGCGGACAAGCCAAACAGGCGCGAAAGCGGAGUCUAGUGAACCGACCCCUUGCAUUAGACGCAGGGGGAGAUUAUCGGCUAAAAGUUACUCCGGGGAUAACAGGCUAGUCGUGCCCAAGAGUUCAUAUCGACGGCACGGUUCGGCACCUCGAUGUCGGCUCAGCGCAUCCUGGGGGUGAAGAAGCUCCCAAGGGUUAUGGAGUUCACAUAUUAAAGCGCUACGUGAGCUGGGUUCAAACCGUCGUGAGACAGGUUGGUCUCCUAUCUCCUGCAGGCGUUGAUUCUUGAGGGGAGUCGUCCACAGUACGAGAGGACCUGGAUGAACUAACCUCUGGUGUGCGAGCUGUUCUACUAAGAGCAUCGCUCGGUAGCUAUGUUAGGAAUGGAUAACCGCUGAAAGCAUCUAAGCGGGAAGCCAACCCCAAGAUCAGGAAUCUUAGGUUUCUUGAAGACUACAAGAUUGAUAGGCUCCAGGUGUAAGGCGAGUAAUCGUUUAAGCCGAGGAGUACUAAUAAACCAUCCGUCCUGUUAG
rfam:Candidatus Niyogibacteria bacterium RIFCSPLOWO2_12_FTLL_41_13 rifcsplowo2_12_scaffold_8636, whole genome shotgun sequence.